AUUGAACGCUGGCGGCAGGCCUAACACAUGCAAGUCGAGCGGUAGAGAGGUGCUUGCAUCUCUUGAGAGCGGCGGACGGGUGAGUAAUGCCUAGGAAUCUGCCUAGUGGUGGGGGAUAACGUUCGGAAACGGACGCUAAUACCGCAUACGUCCUACGGGAGAAAGCGGGGGAUCUUCGGACCUCGCGCCAUUAGAUGAGCCUAGGUCGGAUUAGCUAGUUGGUGAGGUAAUGGCUCACCAAGGCGACGAUCCGUAACUGGUCUGAGAGGAUGAUCAGUCACACUGGAACUGAGACACGGUCCAGACUCCUACGGGAGGCAGCAGUGGGAAUAUUGGGACAAUGGGCGAAAGCCUGAUCCAGCCAUGCCGCGUGUGUGAAGAAGGUCUUCGGAUUGUAAAGCACUUUAAGUUGGGAGGAAGGGUAGUAACCUAAUACGUUGCUACUUUGACGUUACCGACAGAAUAAGCACCGGCUAACUUCGUGCCAGCA
rnacentral:rRNA from 1 species